rnacentral:rRNA from 1 species
ACGUACGCUGGCGGCACGCCUAACACAUGCAAGUCGAACGAAGUAGCAAUACUUAGUGGCAGGCGGGUGAGUAACAUGUAGGUAUCUGCCCUUUGGCCUGGAAUAACACGAGGAAACUUGUGCUAAUACCGGAUAAGUCUUUACGGAGAAAGCUUUAUGCACCAUUGGAUGAGCCUGCACUUGAUUAGUUUGUUGGUAGGUAAUGGCCUACCAAGACUGUGAUCAAUAGCUGAUUUGAGAGGAUGAUCAGCCACAUCGGGACUGAGACACGGCCCAGACUCCUACGGGAGCAGCAGUCAGGAAUAUUGU